CCUGUGCUGGCUUCGAGCUGGCGGCCGGGCCGGGCGGAGCAGCAGCUGCAGCCCCGGUGUCCCUGGAGCGGUGGGAGCUGCCGGUGGCCGCAGGCACUGUGCCCUGAGGAGCUGCUGGAGGACGCUGCCCUGAAGACCUUGAGAAGAGCCGGAGAGUGACGGGAGCCAGCAAGGAGAAGCUGAAGGCCGCCAGCAAGAGCAGUGAACGGAGACCUGCUGCUGCCGCCCGAGACCCUGGCUGAGGCCCCAGGGCCGGUGAGGCAGGGUGUCCCAUCUGCUGUCGCUGUCCAGGAGAGCUGCUCUGCACGGGAGGAAGAGACCGAGGGAGAGCCUGGGAACAUCGGCGCCUGCAAUCCCUCCCGAUCUAGUUCUAGUUCUAGAUGUUUACAGUUGGACUAGGAGAGCUAGAAGUAUAUGGAUAUUUACAUAUGUAACCUGAUAUUUGUAUAGGUGUAUAUGUAUGUAUGUUGUUAUAUUACAUCUGUAGUCAUAUUUUCAUACUUGUUCAGUUGUGCAGCUGUAUAGUUCUGUUGCUCGGCCUGUAUGGAUUUUUUAUUGGUCCAUUGAUAGUUGUAUGUUUAUAGAUAGGUUUGUUAUGUAUGGAAUGUAUUUUUCAUGUUAGAUGUCAUGAUAUAUGUAAUACAUAAUUAAAUCUGUAUAUUGUUAUGGUUAUAUCUGUAUUUACUUGUAUUUUUAUAUAUAUAUGGAGUUGUACAGUUCCAUAAUUUUAUUUAUUCUGGAUCUGGGAUUCUUUAGGGAGGGAUAUCAAUAGUUCCGUAUUCGUAUAUGGGCUGUACAGUUAUAGUAAUAUGUAAUAAAUUACAUUGUUAAACUUCAUAUUUGUGUAUAGUGAGUGGUUGUAGAGGUUUGCAAGAAAUUAACGUUUUUAACUGAAGUUGAUCUCUGUAUAUAUUUACAUAGCACGAUUGUAACAAUAAAUUAGUUUUCUAAACUUCAACUGAUACUUGUAUGUUGAUAGAUUGGCAGCGUGGGUGUAUCAAUUUAAAAUAAAUGUCAUUUUUAAAC